GUUCAAAUCUUUUGCCCAUUUUUUAACCAGGUUAUUUUUUUGUUUUGUUUUGUUUUGUUGUUGUUGUUGAGUUUUAGCAGUUUUUAUGUUCUAGAUAUUAACCCCUUGUCAGAUAUGAUUUGCAAAUAUUUUCUCUCAUAUUUCUAAAAAUAUUUUUACAACUUUUAUACUGAUAUAAUUUCAAAUUUACAGAAAAGUUACAAGACUAGUACAAGGAACUCCCAUAUACCCUUUCUUCAGAGUUAGUAUUUUUUUUAAGGAGCACCUGGAUUUCUUGACAUUUUGACAUUUUGUUGAGUCCUUUAAACAGAACAAAUGACUUGCAGCUGUGGGAGAUGUAAAAGUAUAAACAUGGUUCCUGUCUGAAUAUGCAAAACAAAUAAGGAUGUUUAUAAAGCAACCACUACAGAUGAGAAUAAUACAAAUAAAAACAAAAGUGAGAGGGGGCCAAAAGUAAGAAUAAUUUGAAUUAUUAGAAUUGGAGACGUGUCCCAGUGUUUCUCAACACGGGAUGAUUUUUUUUUUCCCUAGAGAAUUUUUUUUUUUUUGAAGAUUUUAGAUUUAAAGAUUUUAUUUAUUUAUUUUAGAGAGAGAGAGUGCCUGCGCACGCACGCGUGAACCAGCAGGGGGAGGAGCAGAAGGAGAGGGAGAGGGAGGGGGAAAGAAUCUCAGGCUGACUCUGUGCUCCUCAUGAGCCCAACACAGGGCUUGAUCUCAUGACCCGAGAUCACGACCCAAGAUCAUGACCUGAGCCGAAACCAAGAGCUGACUGAGUUGACAGACUGAGCUACCCAGGUGCCCCCACCUAGAGGACUUUUCGCAAUGUUUGGAGACAUACUGGUUGUCACAACUGCAGGGGGCAUGGGAGAAGUGAUAUUACUGGUGUACAGUGUGUAGAAACCAAAGAUACUGCUAAACAUCCUACAAUGCACAGGACAUUACCCCUUCCAACAAAGAAGUUUCCAGCCUAAAUGUGAGUAGUGCCAGGGCAGAGAAACCAUGCCGUAUCCUUGGGAAGCAGACUUUGCUGAAAACCUGUCUUGAGGACUUUAAAGGCUCUGGGCCCAGAAACUCUCUCAAACACAUCCAAACACUUGAAUAACACAAUGAAGACUCUGCCUGGUAAAAUAAUAAGGUGUGAAAAAAUAUUUUCUUCUCUUUUUUGUGCAUAACCCACAAUAAGAGGGCUUAGUUGCUGUGCUUACUAUACAUUUUCUGCAGCAAACAGUCUAAAAAUGCUUUGCCUGGCUUGAUUCUAUAUUGCAGUCACUUACAGCUAACAUGUUCCUGUUAUUGCAUUCUUUUCUUUGCCACUUUCGGCUGUAAAAAAAUAUGUAAACUCGGAAAAAAGCGAACAGUACUAUACAAAAGAUCCUGAAGCUUAGAGAAAGCAAGCAGAGGUGUUGGGGGAAUGUGCUUUACAUGGCUUCUUUUCAAUCCUUGGUUCAUUGCAAAGAAGCUAGGUGUCAGUUCUGUUUUAUCACUAAGUCCAGUAAGCUGGGAGGAGAAUAAAAAUAGCAUGGACUUUGACCUCCUGUAGGGCUGGAUAUGAAUCCAGGCUCAUUCAUUACUAGCUGUCUGACCUUGGGCAAGUAAAUUAUAUACUCUGAACUCAGUAUUUUUUUUUUUUUAAAGAUUUUAUCCAUUUUUUGACAGAGACACAGCAAGAGAGGGAACACAAGCAGGGAGAGUGGGAGAGGGAGAAGCAGGCUCCCCACCGAGCAGGGAGCCCGAUGCGGGGCUCGAUCCCAGGACCCUGGGAUCAUGACCCGAGCCGAAGGCAGACGCUCAACGACUGAGCCACCCAGGCGGCCCUCUGAACUCAGUAUUGCCUUCUCUGCCAGGGGGAUAAUAUCUGCUUCACUGAGUGGUGAAGGGCAACGGAGGACAGUGGCUAAGGCUGUGGACUCUCACACCUGAUUGCCUGGCUUCAGAUCUUCACUCAGCUACUUCUCGUUGUGUGCCCUUUGAAGUCCAUUGAAACCAAAAAGUUGUCCAUUGUACUAAAAGAAAAGGAAAUUGGCUCAGCUGCACAGACCUCUUAGAUGUCUUCUCUAAAAGCAUUCCACACUCAAAAGAGCUCAAGGCACAUGAAAGAAAUCCUAUGGUGGAGGAAGACAGCACAAUGCUGGGUGCACUUGUGGGCGCUCAUCUCCUGCCAUCGAACAAGGUGAUAAGGCUGAAGGACUGGCUACUUCUGGAAGUAAUGGACUUCAGUGUGUUUCUUUUGCUUUUGUCUGGACGUAUUUAGAAAACCAUGGGGAAUUUUUCAGAAGGCAGCUUCCCAGAGGAAGAAUAAAAAUUGGGGGGUUGAGUUCGAGGCUCUUUAUAUCUUCUUUUUGAAAUCAAAGUACCGAUCACAUUAACUGUGAAAUCACCAGGACAUUAGCGUUGCUUUGUGUGUCUUGUUUAACUUUUUUGGGCCCGGUUAAUGACUCUGCUAAAAUAUUAUAUGUGCAUUUCAGAAUGUCAUUAGUCAUUUUUGGCCAUUGUUUUAUUUCUUGAGAUUUAUUAGUUAGUUUAAAAAAAUUAAGAUGUAAUUCACAUACCAUAAAAUCUACCCCUUUAAAAUGUGCAGGUCAAGGGGUAUUAGUAUGGGUAUUUACCACCACUAUCUCAUUCAAGAGCAUUUUGUUCAACCCUGAGAAGAAACCUCUUUCCAUUAGCAGUCACUCUCCCCAUUCUGUUUAUUUAGUUUUGCCAAAUAAAUGUCAUUAGCUAUCUUUAUUUCAUGGAAGUCUUUCUUUUACAGGGUGUCAUGACAGUUGUGUGACCUUCUACAUAGAGGUUUGUCCCAUCUAAUGUCCAGACUAAAGUUGAUUUGGGGGUGCAUUUUCAGCACUACCACCAACAACACGUUGACUGAAAUUGUUCUUGGACAUAAAAUGACAUAUGUUUAGUUACAAUUCAGUGCAUGUGAACUACAGUGUAGUUCCCAUGAAACUAAAUGAGCAUGUUGAAGAUUUCUGAAUAUCUGCCAAAUCUGGGCUCUGUUUUAUUAGUUUGAUGGAUUGAGAAAUCAGUUCUUCUGGCUUAUAUGGGAAGGUUUAAGUUUGUUUCUUUAACUAGUUUUUGAAAAAAAUACAUAAAAUGUAUUUGUAUUUACACUUAGUUGAUUUCUGAAGGAUUGGAAUUGAUUAUUUCUACAUGACUGAGAUUAACUUAUUUAAAGUUUAGAUUAACAAUUUAGAUUGAUAUUUUUUUGAAUCUGUAUUUUUAUUAUUUCAAAAGUAAUAUAUGCUGAUUGAAAAAAAUUUUUAGUUACAUAAAGCUUAGAAGAGUUGUUAAGUACAAAAAGAGAGUUGUCAUUCUGCCUCUCACUUUAUAGAGUUUACACUUAAACUAUUUUUAUGCCUAAUCAUAUACUUGCUUAAUUUUUACUUAACUUUUAAAUAUACUAUAGCAAUGCUUAUUUAUUGAAUUGUGUUGUUCUACGUUCUAUCACUGUUUAAAGUUUCUGGAGCAUUUAAAAAUUUUUUCCUUCCAAAAUGGUGAUUGAUAUAUACUCUUAGUAAUCUUUUGUAAAAAUUACUGUGGUCUGCUAUACUCUGAAAACUAUAAAACACUGAUGAAAGCAAUUGAAGAUGACAUAAAGAAAUGGAAAGACAUUCCAUGCUCAUGGAUUGGAAGAACAAAUAUUGUUAAAAUGUGUAUACUAUCCAAAGCAAUCUAUACAUUUAAUGCAAUCCCUAUCAAAUUACCACCAUCAUUUUUCACAGAGGUAGAACAAACAAUCUCAAAAUUUGUAUGGAACCACAAAAGACCCCAUAUAGCCAAAGCAACCUUGAAAAAGAAAAGCAAAGCUGGAGGUAUCACAAUUCCAGACUUCAAGUUAUAUUACAAAGCUGUAAAGAUCAAAAAAGUAUGGUAUUUAAAAAAAAACACAGUAUGGUACUGGCACAAAAAUAGACACAUAAAUCAAUGGAACAGAAGAGAAAACUCAGAAAUGAUCCCACAAUUAUAUGGUCAGCUAAUCUUCAACAAAGCAGGAAAGAAUAGCCAAUUGGUAAAAGACAGUCUCUUCAACACAUGGUGUUGGGAAAACUGGACAGUAACAUGCUAAAGAAUGAAACUGGAACACUUUAUUACACCAUACACAAAAAAUAAAUUCAAAAUGGAUGAAAGACCUAAAUGUGAAACCUGAAACCAUAAAAAUCCUAGAAGAGAACGCAGGCAGUAACCUCUUGGACAUCAGCCAUAGCAACUUUUUUCUAGAUAUAUCUCCUGAGGCAAGGGAAACAAAAGUAAAAAACUAUUGGGACUUCAUCAAAAUAAAAAGCUUCUGCACAGUGAAGGAAACAAUCAACAAUACUAAAAGGCAACCUACAGAAUGGGAGAAGAUAUUUGCAAAUUACAUAUCUGAUAAAGAGUUGGUAUCCAAAAUCUAUAAAGAACUUAUAAAACUGAACACCCCCAAAAUGAAUAAUCUAGUUAAAAAAUGGGCAGAAGGCACGAACAGACAUUUUUCCAAAGAAGACAAAUAGAUGGCCAAUAGACACAUGAAAAGAUGCUCAACAUUACUCAUCAUCAGGGAAAUGCUAAUCAAAACCACAGUGAGAUAUCACCUCAUACCCAUCAGAACAGCUAAAAUCAGCAACACAAGAAACAGCAAGUGUUGGUGAGGAUGCAAAGAAAGGGGAACCCUCUUGUACUGUUGGGGGGAAUAUAAACUUGUGCAGCCACUAUGGAAAGCAGUAUGGAGUUCCUCAAAAAGUUGAACUACCCUGUGAUCUAACAAUUGCACUACUAGGUAUUUACCCAAAGAGUACAAAAAUACUAAUUCAAAGGGAUACUGCACCCCAAUGUUUAUUUAUAGCAUCAUUAGCUAAAUCAUGGGAAGAGCCCAAAUGUCCAUCGACUGAUGAAUGGAUAAAGAAAAUGUGGUAUGUAGACAGAAUGGAAUAUUACUCAGCCAUCAAAAAGAAUGAAAUUUUGCCAUUUGCAAUGACAUGGAUGGAGCUAGAGAGUAUUAUGCUAAGUGAAAUAAAUCAGAGAAAGACAAAUACCAUGUGAGUUCACUCAUAUGUGGAAUUUAAGAAACAAAACAAACGAGCAAAGAGGAAAAAGAAAGAGAGAGAGAGAGGCAAAUCAUGAAACAGACUCUUAACUAUAGAGAACAAACUGAUGGUUACCAGAGAGGAGGUGGGUGGAAGGAUGAGUUAAUAGGUGAUGGGAAUUAAUAGGUGCACUUGUUGUGACAAGCACUGGAUGUUGUAUGGAAGUGUUGAAUCACUGUAUUGUAUACCAGAAACUAGUGUCGCGCUUUGUGUUAGCUAACUGGAAUUUAAAGAAAAACUUAAAAAAAAAAAAAAAAGAAGAGGUGGUAUAGAAACACCAUGGAAUACUAUUUAAGCCAUAAAAAAGAAUGAAAUCUUGCCAUUUGUAAUGACAUGGAUGAAGCUAGAGAGUAUAAUGCUAAGUGAAAUAAGUCAGUCAGAGAAAGAUAAAUACCAUAUGAUUUCACUCAUAUGUGGAAUUUAAAAAGCAAAAUAAACCAGCAAAAGGAAAAAAAAAAAAAAAAGAGACCAAGAAACAGACUGUUAACUAUGGAGAACAAUCUGAUGGUUACCAGAGGGGUAUGGGUGGGGGGAUGGGUGAAAUAGGUGAUGGGGAUUAAGGAGGGCACUUGUCCUGAUGAGCACUGGGUGAUGUAUGGAACUGUUGAAUCACUAUAUUGUGCACCUGAAACUAAUAUAACACUUCACCAUAUUGGAAUUAGAAUAAUAAUAAAAAGAAGACAUAAAAAAAUUACCAUCAUCUGUUCCUGGUCUAGUGGAACUUCUGAGCAACUGUGGAAAUGUACAUGCUUCCAAAGCUGGGUCUGUUUAUCAUCAAAGAAAGCCGUGAGUCCAGAACUCUUAAAGAGGCCUCCUCCCUCAGAGCAGCUUUUAUCCAAAGAUUUUAGGACCAAAUGACUUCCAUCUCAUCUGAAUUUUUACAGGCACAAAUAUAUCAUCAUGGUGUUACAGUUGAACAUGCAUACUUUUCAGUGAUUCUCACGAAUAGGAUGGUAUUUAUCAUGUACUAUGUAAAAACAUUAAAUAGAAGGCAUCAAAAGUUUGUGGCUAACUGGAUUCACUAAAAAAAAAAAGCCACCCCCUCACCUCAGCCCCUGAUUAAUUGCCUCUUUUUUUUUCACUCUUCAAUCCACAUGGUCUCCUGGAGUUUCCCAAAGACCCUUUGUGAUUAUGUAGGGAUGCUUGGUUAGAACUACUCUUGGGAAUCAGUUAUCGGACUGAAGAAAUGCCUUAGAGGUAGAAGAGAUGGCUCUAGCUGUAAGCUUUUUGAAGUACCAAAGAGGAAUUUGGAAGAGAAUCCUAAAUUUGUUUUAGGUCAGAAGUAUCUAGGAAGGCUGUGUAAUGGAUGUGAACUACUAUUUAUAAACAAGUUGAAUUCAGCUAUCACCUGAGCAACUACCUAAUGAUGGAUUUGGCAUCUUUGAAUGUACAAUAAUGUUUUCAUUCUAUUAGGGUAACUUGUAGCAAAAUAAUUUUAGGAUGUAUAUAUCUGUAUCUUCACUGUAUUUUUUAAAUGGUUUAAUACCGUUCUUAUCUGCUACCCUGUUUCAUUCAUAUAUAGUAUCAUAUACUGGAGUUAUGUGGCUGUUGGACUGUGACUUGAUAUUGAUAAUGGAUUGGAAAAAGUUGUAAAGAGCCAAGCAAACCAUCUUCUACUAUAUGAAUAGUUAAUCAGCAAUAAGAGUAUCUUGCAGAAAAUGCUGGAGUUUUAAUGGAUAUUAGAAGAUAGCACUCACUGUUGGAAGAGAAAAUGGAAAAAAAAAUGCCACACAGUAUAAAAUGAGGUCAGGUUACACUUACUCUGUAUUCCUCGUAAAACAGGGAAGAAUUGGUAGGCUCUGAAGUUUACCUUGUGUGUUCAACAGUCCACAAAGGGUUGGGCUUUAUACUUACUAAAUAGUACUUAAAACGAUUGUUUUUGUUUUUUCCCCUACAUGCUCUCACCCAAAGGUGAAUUCACUUCCUUGUGUAAUCACCCUGUCAAAUGUUAAUUUAUCUCAACAACUUCUCAUCGUGCUCUUACUAUGUAGUAAGCACAGAUUUUGGAUAAGUAUUGAAUUUUAGAUAGAUCAGUGGUCAGUUGGGUUCGUUGAAAGGAGAGUACUUCUAUUUGUCCCAGAUAAACCUUACCCUGAGGGAAGAACUGGGAGAUAGAAGAAAAGGUGUACUGAUCAACAAGCCAGAAUUGGGAAGACAAAGUGGUGAUUGUUUGGGAAAGAGUAUGUUAUCAAGAAUCCACUCUAACCAGUAUAUCUGGCUCUGUGGUUGUUCUGAGGGUGACUGAAAACUUCUAAGCCUUUGACACAACAUGGAAGUUGUUUCUCGUAUAUGAAAGACUAAUGCUGGGGAGUAUGUUUUAUUUACCCAGUUCAUUUUUGCUUUA